GACGAACGCUGGCGGCGUGCUUAAUACAUGCAAGUAGAACGCAGUUGCGAACGGGUGAGUAACGCGUAGGUAACUGCCUGGUAGCGGGGGAGAACCAUUGGAAACGAUAGCUAAUACAGCAUACUACCAAAUGGACCAGCGUUGUAUUAGCUUGUUGGUGGGGUAACGGCUCACCAGGGCAACGAUACAUAGCAGACCUGAGAGGGUGAUCGGCCACCCUUGGACUGAGACACGGCCCAGACGCCUACGGGCGCCAGCAGUAGGGAAUCUUCUGCAAUGGACGGAAGUCUGACCGAGCAACGCCGCGUGAGUGAAGAAGGUUUUCGGAUCGUAAAGCUCUGUUGUAAGAGAAGCGGUAUCUUACCAGAAAGGGACGGCUAACUACGUGCCAGCAGCCGCGGUAAUUC
rnacentral:rRNA from 1 species